AGAGUUUGAUCCUGGCUCAGGAUGAACGCUAGCUACAGGCUUAACACAUGCAAGUCGAGGGGCAGCAUGGUCUUAGCUUGCUAAGGCCGAUGGCGACCGGCGCACGGGUGAGUAACACGUAUCCAACCUGCCGUCUACUCUUGGACAGCCUUCUGAAAGGAAGAUUAAUACAAGAUGGCAUCAUGAGUCCGCAUGUUCACAUGAUUAAAGGUAUUCCGGUAGACGAUGGGGAUGCGUUCCAUUAGAUAGUAGGCGGGGUAACGGCCCACCUAGUCUUCGAUGGAUAGGGGUUCUGAGAGGAAGGUCCCCCACAUUGGAACUGAGACACGGUCCAAACUCCUACGGGAGGCAGCAGUGAGGAAUAUUGGUCAAUGGGCGAGAGCCUGAACCAGCCAAGUAGCGUGAAGGAUGACUGCCCUAUGGGUUGUAAACUUCUUUUAUAAAGGAAUAAAGUCGGGUAUGGAUACCCGUUUGCAUGUACUUUAUGAAUAAGGAUCGGCUAACUCCGUGCCAGCAGCCGCGGUAAUACGGAGGAUCCGAGCGUUAUCCGGAUUUAUUGGGUUUAAAGGGAGCGUAGAUGGAUGUUUAAGUCAGUUGUGAAAGUUUGCGGCUCAACCGUAAAAUUGCAGUUGAUACUGGAUAUCUUGAGUGCAGUUGAGGCAGGCGGAAUUCGUGGUGUAGCGGUGAAAUGCUUAGAUAUCACGAAGAACUCCGAUUGCGAAGGCAGCCUGCUAAGCUGCAACUGACAUUGAGGCUCGAAAGUGUGGGUAUCAAACAGGAUUAGAUACCCUGGUAGUCCACACGGUAAACGAUGAAUACUCGCUGUUUGCGAUAUACUGCAAGCGGCCAAGCGAAAGCGUUAAGUAUUCCACCUGGGGAGUACGCCGGCAACGGUGAAACUCAAAGGAAUUGACGGGGGCCCGCACAAGCGGAGGAACAUGUGGUUUAAUUCGAUGAUACGCGAGGAACCUUACCCGGGCUUAAAUUGCAGAUGAAUUACGGUGAAAGCCGUAAGCCGCAAGGCAUCUGUGAAGGUGCUGCAUGGUUGUCGUCAGCUCGUGCCGUGAGGUGUCGGCUUAAGUGCCAUAACGAGCGCAACCCUUGUUGUCAGUUACUAACAGGUUCCGCUGAGGACUCUGACAAGACUGCCAUCGUAAGAUGUGAGGAAGGUGGGGAUGACGUCAAAUCAGCACGGCCCUUACGUCCGGGGCUACACACGUGUUACAAUGGGGGGUACAGAGGGCCGCUACCACGCGAGUGGAUGCCAAUCCCAAAAACCUCUCUCAGUUCGGACUGGAGUCUGCAACCCGACUCCACGAAGCUGGAUUCGCUAGUAAUCGCGCAUCAGCCACGGCGCGGUGAAUACGUUCCCGGGCCUUGCACUCACCGCCCGUCA
rnacentral:rRNA from 1 species